rnacentral:lncRNA from 10 species
GCUUGUUUCGGGGGAUAUUAACUUCCCACCAUGUCUGUUCUGCUCCUCACAGAGCCAGCUCACUCCUGGGAGUAACAAGGGCUUUCAGAUGGAGAUGUGCAGGCGCUCAAGGUAGAAGUCAUUUGCCUGUCGGGGAACUGUCCACCCACGCUGCUGGCGCCCUCCUAAGAUAAAAAAUCGGAGGCACUGUACAGCAAAGCAACUCAUCUAAGGUCACAGGACUGGUGAAUGUACAGCUGUAAUUUCAGCCUGAGUCUCUCUGACUCCAAAGCCUUUGUUCUUUCCUUCACAUUGCCAUGUUCAAAGGCAGUGCUGGUGGUAUGAAAAGAGAGAGUGGAAUGCCCCCUGAAUUUAUCAUCCCACCUCACUCUUCCAGGGAAGUUUCCUGGAUCCUUCCUCCAUCUAUACAUCAAGCAGUUUAUCUUGACUGAGCAACCACUAUGUGCCCACUUGUGUUGGGCACCAAGGGAAAGCCAGUGUUCAUGACCACCUGAUGAUCUCACACAGGAGAGAGCUCACAGAGGGGUCAAAGUCCACCUGGAGUAGGUCAGAGAAUGAGAGCUGGACUGGGAAUGCUUGUUGGGGGAGAUAGAAUAUGAGCUGGGUAUGAAAGAAUGAGGAGUAGAUAAGCUUCUGGCUUGGUGACUACUCGGCUUCCCCAUCACCCCCACCUGUAGUAGGUAGUAUUAUUUGUUGACCCAUAUUUCUUUCUCUACUUCUAUUGCCAAGUCCUCCCUGUGGGUAGAAUGUUGUCUGUUUCAUUGACUUUGGCUUUGGCCAUAUGAUGUGCAUGGGUUAAUGCAAUGUGGGUGAGAGUGACAGUUACUGCUUUGAUCUGAAACUUGGAGAGUCAUGGCAAAGCUCUGCUGGUCUUUUACUCUUCACUUUACCACAAGAAUAAAGCAUCCCAGGUAGUUGCUGGUCCAGAAUGAGUAGAUAUACGGGGUGGAACUAAAUCCAGCCCAUUUUCUAAAGUCAAGCUCAGCCAACCCAGCAGGUGCCAAUAGUAUCACUGUUGGCCUGUCCACCUGUAAAUGUGACAUAAACAUUUGUUUUAAUAAGCCAGUGAGAUUUUUGUGAUUGUGUAUUACCUGGCACUCUUACAGCAGUAUUUAAAUAAUAAAUAAUACACCUUUGCUUUCAGUCAUAGGUAAACUCAGGUAAGCACCUUAACUGUUCUGGCGGAUGGGGCACAUUAUGAAAACAAGCCAGAAAAUGUAUUAGUCACUCAGGUUCAUGAACUCUGCAGCUCAAGAUUCUGUCUCUGACUUUAUAGAUAUCCCAAUAAUUGUGUUUUUGUUCCCACCCUCCUCACCCUUAUCAUCUAGCCUACAGAUUGUCCAUAGCACAGAGUAUGAAAAAUUCUUUAAAAGUUGGUUCCUGUAUUAGUCCACUUUGCAUCACUGUAAAGGAAUACCUGAGAUGGGGCAAUUUACAAAGCAAAGGGGUUUGUUUGUCUCAUGGUUCUGUAGGCUGUACAAGAAGCAUAGCAGCAGCAUCUGCUUGUGGUGAGGCCUCAGGAUACCUUUACUCAUGGCAGAAGGCAAGGGAAGCUGGUACGUCACACAGUGGGAAAGGAAUCAAGAGAAGAGGGGAGGGAGGUGCCAGACUCUUUAACAACCGGAUCUUGCACAAACUAAUGAAGUGAAGACUUACUCAUUACUUGGGGAGGACACUAAGUCAUUCACGAGGGAUCCACUCCCCUGACCCAAACAUCUCCCACCAGAUCCCACCUCCAACACUGGGGUCACAUUUCAACGUGAGAUUCAGAGGGAACAAAUAUUCAAACUCUAUCAGCUCCUGUGUCCCAAUAAUUUCUAGUUAUUUACAGUAGAGAAUAUUAACUUUGCUCCAUGAAAUCUUGGAGCACUAGAGGGACUACUGAAGGGCCAGCCAUGGUAAGAGAAGGACAACAAGACCAGGGAUUCCAGACUCCCAUCUGGGCUGCAACUCAAAAAUUUCUACUUUUAUUUGUUGUAUACAAUCAGAUUCCUUAUAAAACUUUGUCUGAAGCUGAAAUCCACUACUGAAGAAUGUUUGGAAUCACUAGUGUACAUGGAAAGCCCCACUUCCACACCCUGAUAUCUCAGGGCUUCCAUAACCUUUCCCCACUUUUUAGUCUAAUGGUCCCGUUUCUCCCUUGGCUCUAGUCCCCUUUCCCAAUAGUCUGUGCACUCCAGUUACUGUUCCCAUGCAUGCUCAGAUUUCUUUUGCCUCCCUUCUCUCUGUUUGCAAAGCCCUUCCCACUUCUAUCUGCCAAAGCCACCAUUUGUCUCCCAGGACCUAGCAUCAGAGACAGAGAAAGUUCCCCAGAGAAUGUUUAGUCCAACCCCUCUACUUUGUAAUGUUGUAAUGUUGAUUUGUAAAUUCCAACAUCUAUUGAGUAUUUAUUAAAGACAGGCACUGAUAAGCAUUUUACGUAAAUCAGUUCAGUGAAUCCUUCAAUACUUUGAACUGUGUACUAUUAUUCUUUCCAUUUUAUGCAGGAAGAAACUGAAGCCCAGAGAGGUUAAGUAACUUGCUCAAGGUCACACAGCAGUUUAGUACAUAGUCAGUGUCUGAAUUUACACAGGCUCCAGAGUCUGCAUUUUAACCCUUUCAAAAUAUUGCCUUCCUCAUUUUAUAGAUGAAGAAACUGUGCCAUUCAGUUGAAAGAGAUUUGCUUAAGGUUACACAGCUGGUUUAUGACCAAUCAGGUCAGUGCCCAGGCCUCUCGGUGCCAGUCUGGGCUUCAUUCAACCUUGGUUGUGCCCACGCUGGAGGUGCCCAGCUGGUGACACAGCCAGGAGGAAUCCUUGCAGUGGUGCCUCCUGCCAACUGGCCAUACCUGUGUGCAGUCCACGCUGGGCAUGUUCUCAUUUGCUUGCAGAGCUGGAAGGGACCUUGGAGCAUGUCCAGGUCAUUGACUUUUACCUGACUACCCAUUAAACUUACCUGGGAAAGUUUUAAAAAUACUGCUAAGCUGCACUCUCAGGGUGUCUGAUUUAAUGGUACAGGGGGUGUGCCAGGACAUUGGUAUUUUGGACACACUCCCAGGUGGUUCUGAAGUGCAGCCAAGGUUGAGAUACUCUGUUGUAAUCCAACAUACUGCUGUGCCACCCCAUUUCAUAGAACAAGAAAUGACCUGUGUCAGUCCCCAAGUAGUCAGAAGCAAAGCCUAGCCUAGAGGAGACUCCCUGAUGAUAUUAAACCCCAUACUCGAUUCUACUAAACAGGAGUUCCCCGCUGAUCAUAUCAGGCAUCUACACCUUCCUGUGGCACAUGAGCCCAGAGCAAAGCAAAUAAAAUCCCAUCUGGUUGGAGAAAAAUAAAAUGAAGACUACUGGGCACCGUCACCAUAAGCAUGGGUUGCUAUCACAAAGUAUUAUAGACCAGGGAGCUUAUAAACAGCAAAUUUAUUUCUCACAGUUCUGGAGGCUGGAAGUCUGAGAUCCAGGUGCCAGCAUGGUUGGGUUCUGGUGAGGACCCUCUUCUGGUUGCAGAGAGCUGACUUCUCACCACAUUCUCACAUGGUGAAAAGAGAGUGACUUUGCUGUCUGGCCUAUUCUUAUAAAGGCACUAACCCCACUCACGAGAGCACCACUCUCAUCACCUAAUCACCUCCCAAAGGCCCCC